rnacentral:rRNA from 1 species
AUUGAACGCUGGCGGUAGGCCUAACACAUGCAAGUCGAACGCGAAAGUCCUUCGGGAUGAGUAGAGUGGCGGACGGGUGAGUAACGCGUAGGAAUCUAUCCUAUAGUGGGGGAUAACGUUUCGAAAGGAACGCUAAUACCGCAUACGCCCCAAGGGGAAAAGCGGGGGAUAUUCGGACCUCGUGCUAUAGGAGGAGCCUGCGUCGGAUUAGCUAGUUGGUGAGGUAAAGGCUCACCAAGGCGACGAUCCGUAGCUGGUCUGAGAGGAUGAUCAGCCACACCGGAACUGAGACACGGUCCGGACUCCUACGGGAGGCAGCAGUGGGGAAUAUUGCGCAAUGGGCGAAAGCCUGACGCAGCCAUACCGCGUGUGUGAAGAAGGCCUUCGGGUUGUAAAGCACUUUCAGUGGGGAGGAAAAGCUGGUGGCUAAUAUCCAUCGGCCGUGACGCUACCCACAGGAGAAGCACCGGCUAAUUCCGUGCCAGCCGCCGCGGUAAAAC